UACGUAGGAGGCAAGCGUUGUCCGGAAUUACUGGGUGUAAAGCGCGUGUAGGCGGCAGGCCAAGUCUGUGGUGAAAUCGCUCGGCUCAACUGGGCGGGGUCCAUGGAAACUGGUCAGCUGGAGGACGGUAGAGGUGAGUGGAAUUCCCGGUGUAGUGGUGAAAUGCGUAGAUAUCGUAAGGAAGACCAGUGGCGAAGGCGGGUCUCUGGACAGUUCCUGACGCUGAGGCACGAAGGCCAGGGGAGCAAACGGG
rnacentral:rRNA from 1 species